CCUACGGGAGGCAGCAGUGAGGAAUAUUGGUCAAUGGGCGCGAGCCUGAACCAGCCAAGUAGCGUGAAGGAUGACUGCCCUACGGGUUGUAAACUUCUUUUAUAAAGGAAUAAAGUGAGGCACGUGUGCCUUUUUGUAUGUACUUUAUGAAUAAGGAUCGGCUAACUCCGUGCCAGCAGCCGCGGUAAUACGGAGGAUCCGAGCGUUAUCCGGAUUUAUUGGGUUUAAAGGGAGCGUAGAUGGGUUGUUAAGUCAGUUGUGAAAGUUUGCGGCUCAACCGUAAAAUUGCAAUUGAUACUGGCAGCCUUGAGUACAGUUGAGGUAGGCGGAAUUCGUGGUGUAGCGGGGAAAUGCUUAGAUAUCACGCAGAACCCCGAUUGCGAAGGCAGCAUACCGGUGCACAACUGACGCUCAGGCACGAAAGCGUGGGUAUCGAACAGGAUUAGAUACCCUUGUAGUC
rnacentral:rRNA from 1 species